rnacentral:rRNA from 1 species
AUUGAACGCUGGCGGCAGGCUUAACACAUGCAAGUCGAACGAGCGGCGGACGGGUGAGUAAUGUAUGGGGAUCUGCCUGAUGGAGGGGGAUAACUACUGGAAACGGUAGCUAAUACCGCAUACUAUCGGAUGAACCCAUAUGGGAUUAGCUAGUAGGUGGGGUAAAGGCUCACCUAGGCGACGAUCUCUAGCUGGUCUGAGAGGAUGAUCAGCCACACUGGGACUGAGACACGGCCCAGACUCCUACGGGAGGCAGCAGUGGGGAAUAGUGCACAAUGGGCGCAAGCCUGAUGCAGCCAUGCCGCGUGUAUGAAGAAGGCCUUAGGGUUGUAAAGUACUUUCAGCGGGGAGGCGUUACCCGCAGAAGAAGCACCGGCUAACUCCGUGCCAGCAGCCGCGGUAAUUC